rnacentral:rRNA from 1 species
GUGCCAGCCGCCGCGGUAAUACGUAGGGGGCGAGCGUUGUCCGGAGUUACUGGGCGUAAGGGGUCCGCAGGCGGUCCUUCGCGUUCCGACUGACAGUGCUCGGCUUAACUGAGCAAGGCGUCGGAAAACGGGAGGACUUGAGGGCUUCAGAGGGACACGGAAUUCCGGGUGGAGUGGUGAAAUGCGUAGAGAUCCGGAGGAACACCAAAGGCGCAGGCAGUGUCCUGGGAAGCAUCUGACGCUCAGGGGCGAAAGCCAGGGGAGCGAACGGGAUUAGAAACCCUCGUAGUCC